rnacentral:rRNA from 1 species
CUACGAUGGCAGUCGCACGACCUAGCUUCGGCUUGCCGAUGCCAGAAAAGUGGCGCACGGGUGAGUAACACGUGGGUAAUCUACCUCCGAAUUGGGGAUAACGUUGCGAAAGCGACGCUAUACCGAAUGACAUCCCAUUUUCUGCGGAUGAUGGGAUCAAAGGUGGCCUCUUCAUGAAAGCUACUGUUUGGAGAUGAGCCCGCGGCCCAUUAGCCUGUUGGUGGGGUAACGGCCCACCAAGGCCACGAUGGGUAGCUGGUCUGAGAGGAUGAUCAGCCACACUGGAACUGACACACGGUCCAGACUCCUACGGGAGGCAGCAGUGAGGAAUUUUGCGCAAUGGGGGAAACCCUGACGCAGCAACGCCGCGUGAGUGAUGAAGGCCUUCGGGUCGUAAAGCUCUGUCAAGUGGGAAGAACCCGCAGAUGGCUAAUACCCAUUUGCGCUGACGGUACCACUGAAGGAAGCACCGGCUAACUCCGUGCCAGCAGCCGCGGUAAUACGGGGGGUGCAAGCGUUACUCGGAAUCAUUGGGCGUAAAGGGCGCGUAGGCGGCCUUGCAAGUCAGCUGUGAAAGCCCGGGGCUCAACCCCGGAAGUGCGGUUGAUACUGCUUGGCUUGAGUAUGGGAGAGGGAAGUGGAAUUCCUGGUGUAGAGGUGAAAUUCGUAGAUAUCAGGAGGAACACCUGUGGCGAAGGCGACUUCCUGGACCAAUACUGACGCUGAGGCGCGAAGGCGUGGGGAGCAAACAGGAUUAGAUACCCUGGUAGUCCACGCAGUAAACGUUGUUCACUAGGUGUAGCGGGUAUUGACCCCUGCUGUGCCGAAGCUAACGCAUUAAGUGAACCGCCUGGGAAGUACGGCCGCAAGGCUAAAACUCAAGGAAUUGACGGGGGCCCGCACAAGCGGUGGAGCAUGUGGUUUAAUUCGACGCAACGCGAGAACCUUACCUGGGUUUGACAUCUCGGGAAUCUUUUAUGAAAGUAAAGAGUGCCCUUUCGGGG